rnacentral:rRNA from 1 species
GCUAACGUCGUAUCUAUGGGCGUGGUAAGACUAAUGGUGCGAGUGUUAUCCUGAGUUAUUGGGUUUAAAGGGUGCGUAGGCUGUGUGAUAAGUUAGUGGUGAAAUCCUAUCGCUUAACGAUAGACGUGCCAUUGAUACUGUAGGACUUGAGUACAGAUGCCGUUGGCGGAAUGUGUCAUGUAGCGGUGAAAUGCAUAGAUAUGACACAGAACACCGAUUGCGAAGGCAGCUGACGAAACUGUAACUGACGCUGAUGCACGAAAGCGUGGGGAUCAAACAGGAUUAGAUACCCCAGUAGUC